AACAAGGCGUACCUGCGGACCUGCGGAGGGAUCAUUACAGAGUUCAUGCCCUCACGGGUAGAUCUCCCACCCUUGAAUACUAUACCUUUGUUGCUUUGGCGGGCCGCUUUGGCUACUGGCUCUGGCUAGUAAGUGCCCGCCAAAGAACCCCAAAACUCUGAAUAUUAGUGUCGUCUGAGUACUAUAUAAUAGUUAAAACUUUUAACAACGGAUCU
rnacentral:misc_RNA from 1 species